rnacentral:tRNA from 1 species
GCUUCUGAAGGAUAAUAGUCAUCCAUUGGUCUUAGGAACCAAAAACUCUUGGUGCAAGUCCAAGUGGGAGCU